CGGCAUUUUGAGGAAAAUUCUGAAAAGCUAAGAAGUUCAGCCCCUUUGUACCAACAUGAACUUGCUAAAAACCUGGAGCUAAUGAAGUUAAAAAGGGAGCGCAUAGUAUCUGGGAUCAAGUCUAGCUUGAUUGACGAUUGCUUGCAAGAAGCCUUCAAAAUAAAGUGGAGAAAAGCUGGAAAUGGUUUGGAACUUAAUCGAAAAAUGGGAAAUCUGUACACUGUUGUUGUAUCUAUUCUCCAACGAUCUCAACUUUCAAGGAUACGCAGACAAUAUAUGUAUUUAAGAAUGUGCAGCAAUUAUUAAUUAGUAGGUAAUUUUGGAGUCGUUGCAAUAUCUCA